GGGAACCUCACCCGGCCCGGACACCGCGAGGAUUGACAGACUGAGAGCUCUUUCUCGAUUCGGUGGGUGGUGGUGCAUGGCCGUUCUUAGUUGGUGGAGCGAUCUGUCUGGUUAAUUCCGAUAACGAACGAGACCCCAACCUGCUAAAUAGUGUCUGCUUCUCUUUUGAGCAGACAAUUCUUCUUAGAGGGACUGGCGACUCUUAGUCGCACAAGAUUGAGCAAUAA
rnacentral:rRNA from 1 species